rnacentral:rRNA from 1 species
UACGGAGGGGGCUAGCGUUGUUCGGAAUUACUGGGCGUAAAGCGUACGUAGGCGGCUUUGUAAGCUAGAGGUGAAAGCCCGGGGCUCAACUCCGGAAUUGCCUUUAAGACUGCAUCGCUUGAAUCAUGGAGAGGUGAGUGGAAUUCCGAGUGUAGAGGUGAAAUUCGUAGAUAUUCGGAAGAACACCAGUGGCGAAGGCGACUCACUGGACAUGUAUUGACGCUGAGGUACGAAAGCGUGGGGAGCAAACAGG